GCACGCCCUGGCACGCGCGUGCGCAUACACGUCAACGAGUACGAACUAAAAGAGACGCAGCCGCACCCCGCCCACAAGCACCUUAGCGCACUGUGCGCUCCUCACUCAACGCUCGUGCACUGUGCAACCAUGGCACAGCCGUCCGGUGAAGAGGCGAUCACUAGCAAGAGCUUCUCGGGCACGGCCAAGGGAGCCACGCCACACGAGACCAUCUCCAUCGCGUUUACGCACUCGCAGUACGCCACGCCGUGCCAUGAUCACACGGUCCCCGGUAGCACGCCAGGUCACCGUCUGCGUCGACUGGGGCGGCGGCAUCAGCCAGCCGACAUCCUGCACAACCACCUGAACCACGCGCUGGUGGCGCACAGCGGCGUCGUCACGACGGCAAAGAGUGGCGGCGGCUACUAUCACCACCACUGCAGUGAUCCCUGGGAGGGCACCGCCGAUCACCCGGCCCCGCCAGGCGGCAACUGUGUGCUGCACACAAAGAACGGUGGCAAGCGGCACUUUGACGAGCCCACGGGCCUCUUCAGCGAGCCGGUGUGGCAUCCGUCGAGGCGCGUGAUUCUGCCGCCGCAGGUGCACGCGCGGCCGCCAGCGACGCAGCGGCGCGGGCGCGGUGUGUACAACACCACCGACGGCUGGAUCCACCCAGACGCCGAGGCGGCGCAGGUUCGGCGCGAGGAGGAGGCAGUGCGGCAGCACUCACGCGGUGGCAAGGCGCAGGUGGCAAGGCCACCUGAUCACACGCUGGAGGAGCUGAGCAUGUGGGUCAGGACGGGAAAAGGUAGUGGCGUCGGUGCUGCCGGGCCGUCUUCCGAAGCGCAAGAGGCAGCUCCCGCAGCGUCCACGGCGGCAGCUAACGGCCGCGAAAGAAAGCGGCACCUGCUGCCCCACCACAAGACGAACACGUCCAUGGUUUCAGCGGUAGCACCGCUCACAGGGCCGCCCCCGCCGAAAGUCCUCGCCGACUACAAUGACAGCCAGGUGCUGCCCGCCAUCGGUCAGGGGGUGGCGAUGCAACGCUGCACGGUGGCGGAGGCAGACGCCUUAGCACAGCGCCAACGCGAGAAGCGCGUGCAGCACUUGCUGCAGACCAUGAGGGCGGCGGCUGCCGAGUCAGAGACGCGAGCAGCAGACAUUCAAGCGGUGCGAGAGUUGCCGAGCUGGUAGCACAGAACCAAAGGGCAAGAAGCCGCGAGUGUGGGGGCACCCCUCUCAGCUGCUCACAAGGAGCUGCAUUUUCGGCAAUGAGCAAGAACGCCGGCGUUUGUUCACACCGCAUCCCGCCGUCAACCGCGCUCCCCGGCUUUGCCCCCCCCCCGCUGCCCUGCUGCGUGGUUGCCUACCGAUGUCGGUCUUUUUAGCGGCCGCGCCGCUUCAGCUCACCUCCUCGUCUCACGAGCCCGCACGUGAACUCUCUUGGUUUGUGUGUUUUGUCAUUCUUUCUUGGCCACCCUUCGUGGCUGGUGGUCUCUUUCCCUCCCACCCUCCCUCUCUUACGGGUCUGUGCGGUGUGAGGGAGGGGAUGCUUGUCCUCGUACCGUUGUGCUUCCCCCUGACUCGCAGAGGCACGCAUGCACAACCGCGCGUGCGCACUGGCAGAGAACCAGAGACGCUCGAACAUUCCCGCGCGCUUGCCUUUUCAUUGUCGCCGUUUUCGUUUCGUGUCCCCGUCGAUCACGCGAUGCAUGUACACUUGGUCGGCGCUGAUGUACCGCCCGCAGCCCAAAGUGCGGUGCCGCAG
rnacentral:misc_RNA from 1 species